AUAUAUACAGUUCAUGUGUUCUAAUGAUAAUCAUGAAGACAUCCUCCAUCAGGUGCACCAAACGUUUUUUAUUCCAUUAAUUAAUUGUCACAUACACAGGCUUCGGUCUGUUCUAAGCAUAACCACCAGGACACCAUACAUCAGGUUCACAAAAGGAUAGCUAAAAGAUGCUAGUAUGAGACAUGAGUUGUACAAAAUGAAAGCUAAAUAUCCAGGUGACACGGAUCGCUGGCUUCAUGGUUCCUUGUGAGUGUUGUCCUUUUUUUGCUUCCUACAAAAGUUAAACAAGUCUCAAUUAUAAUAAUACAAUAUCAUAAACUGCAUUCUCUUUGCUUGUUUUUAUUUUGCAAACAUUUCAUAUGUGAGUAGUCUUUUUUUGUCAAGUGAAUCACAUGUUGAUAGAAGUGAUACCAUAUCUCAAAACUAUUUACAUGUCAAUCAUAUUGAUUGCUUACACACUAGUCUCUAGAAAUAAUAGAAGCGCAUACCUAGCUUCAUACCAAAGAGUCAAAAAAGAUCACCUAAGGCAUGCAAUCAAAACAUGUAACAAUUAAAUAACAAUGUGAAAGCAUGAUAUGUCGUUUUUUGUUUACUUCCUACAGUUAAGUAACAUGUAACAAUUAAACAUGUAAUUAUUUGAUCUUUUUGUCCACAUAUAUAUGCUAGUAGGAUAUAGUACACACGAGCAGAAAAGUUGUAUUUGUUAUAGUACUGCAUGCAUAUAUAAAAGUCUCAUGUUACACACAGGGCUGAAGAAUCACAAGCAUUGCAAGGAGUAAAAAUAAAAGGUAUCCAGUAAUUAGAAGCAAAAAGUUUAAGUGAUCACACAUGCAUAUUUAAAAGUAAUUAGGAGCAACAAGUUUAAGAAGUUAACUGGCUCAAGUGGGUUUUUUCAAGGCACAAUAGAAGAAUCUAGCUAUGUUCUCUAAAUAAACCAAAAUAGAAGAACAUUGAGAAUUUACCAUCACUCUGAAUACUAUGCACCAAAUAGUUCUUAUUGAGAUGCAAUUACAUCAAUCAUUCAUGCCAUCGCCUCAUCGUGCACUACAGUAGUUGUCAAGAUAGAGAACAAUGCAGAAGAAUAAUUAGAAUGCUUCAUGCUGCAUAUAGUUCAUGACAAAUGGUAGCAAAAGUACAUAUCUAGAGGGGUCUAACAAAGGAUAACUUAUUUUCUUACAUAAUUGAUGCAGUAAUCUAGAAGAUCUAAACUCAUGCUCUAAUAUCAAGUCAAUGGUUAUUAGAAAAAGUAAAUGCAAUGGUGCCUUUAGGCGUAUUUACAGCACAUAACAAGAAGUAUUAAAAAACAUGGGCAUUACUGUCAUAUCUCCAUCAUAUCCAACUUCAUACACAAAUCUGAACCCAACAUGCUUCAUGUGGCAUAAAUAAACUAUAUAACAACCUGAUGUAAAGCUUACUGUUGGUUGUAGUUGUCGCCGUCACUGUGCUGCCAUAGGAGCAAGGUACGCAUCGACAGGAAGCAGAACUAGAGCACUCCCAGCACCCGCCGGGUGAUAGCGUUGCCUCUAUUUGACCCUUCCUCUGCCUUCUUUGAACCACCUCAUAGAAGACUGGGUCGCUGGAUAAAUAACCAAUCAGUAGGCAGUAGAACAUCAACAUUCAGCAGCAAUACGGUAGUAGCACUAGCACAUCAAGCAGCACAGACGUGGCUAGCAGCACACUGCACACCACAACACAACAAGAACUAGCACACCACAACCACACAAGCAGCAAGCACCAUAGGAGCAGUAGCAAGCAGCAAGCAGGCACACCAUCACACAGUAGUAGCAAACAACAAGCAAGCAACAUCACAAACAGGGGAAGAGGGAUGAGCAGAGGAACUACCAGGGAGGGGCUCAGGGGGUCGGGGUGGAUGAAGGGGAGCAGAUCCGGUCGGGAAAGGAGCCGACGACCUCUUGUCUCCUCUCUAUAUGAAGCCCCUCACGAACCCUAUCCCGAGCCCUCUCUUGUCGCCGCCAAGCUCUCUUUUGUACUCCAACGGUGAUGGUGGAGAGGGGGAGGACGGACAAGGCAGGGCGGUGGGGAUGCUGGAGAACAAGCGGGAGAGGGGGCGACAACCUUGCUGGCCGGAGAGCACGUAGAUGGACGGCGAGAGAGAGCUCGAGAGGUG
rnacentral:lncRNA from 1 species